CCCGAUCUAACCCCUCCUCCCCGCUCCGCUCGUCCUCUCUGUCAGGCCAAACGAAAACAGAGACAUCACUCUUCUGCAUCCUCCGCUCUUCUUCUUCUUCUUCUUCGUCUGUGUUUCCCUUCUUUGUUCCUCGGCUGCUCGUUCCUUUUUUCUCUCUCUCUCCGGGGAAGCCCUCACGGUUGAGCCAGCGAUGGCGGUGCCAGAGUCGGCAGGAUCGAAGAGGACGGAGCCGCAUCUGGGUCCGCGUGCGGCCGAGGCAAGGCCGAGCGGCGGCGGCAUGUGGGUUCCGUUCUUCAUUGAGAGAAUCGAUCACGGAAGUCACACAAUGCUGCCAACCGGUGAGUACAGAAAAGCACUCCGCAAUACAAUCAACAUGAUGAUUCAAGUAUAUUUCCUCAAUAUUUGAAUCUUCUUUCAUCCGCUCCUUGUUCCCAAAACAAAGCAUGUCUCCUGAGUAACAGAGCAAGCUUUCCCCACUAGAGUUUGUGCAAACCGAUUCUUUCACCAGCUGCAAAACACGAGAUGCCAAUUCCUUGAUGGCAACAUUUGAUGGAGCACAAACAACGGUUCUGCGUUUCCUUUCCAAGAGAGUAAAGAGCAGCGCCACAGCAGUUUUGGUCUUCCCUGUCCCUGGAGGACCAUGUAUCAUUUCUACAGCCGACCUGUGUUGACGCUAGACGGUAUCAAGACAAGCAAGAACUGCUUUUUUCUGGCAUUCAUUCAGACCACCAGACAAGUUGUUGUCGAGACUCUCAUGUCCAGAGCCAUGAAUUUGAGUACUACAGAGAUUGCAAUCUUUCUCAGCCUGCAAACAAACACAUCUUUUAAAAAUUAACACUCUAAUAACCUAAGUAAAACAGUCAGAAACCGUGAAAUUUAUUGAUUAUGUUGAAAGUUAUUGAUUAUGUUGCAUCCCUGUACAACCUGCACAAACAUUGAGCACAAAGGAUGGUCUAAUGUAUGAACAGGGUCUGUCACUGAAUCUUGGUAAUAUUACUGCAUUAUUGAAUUCUAUUGUGA